AAAAGCUAAUUGACGAAUAUGCAUUUUGUAACACCGUUUAUAUUAGUAUUUUGAGUAAGGUUCAGACAGUGUGAAUUGUGUGCUCCCGUGUUUGCACAGAACAAUGGAACUGUGUAUCCUGCCAAGCAGGAUUUUGGAACAAACAAAAUAACUGUAUAUCUGACUGUAUAAGACCAACUUGCUUUUGUUCAAAUAGUAAUAAUUGCGUUGAAUGUCAAGAUGGAUUUUAUAAUCAAGUUAUAGGACUUUGCGAAGGUAAAUGUUCUGCAGGAUGUAACGACACAAAACACGUUACAUGUACGUGCAAGCUUUACUAUACAGGGAAGAAGUGUGAAUCGUGCUAUGAUGGCCAAACGUGUAAUGGCUUUAUUUAUGGUUGGUAUGGUGAGGGUUGUAUGAAACAUUGCAGCAAACAUUGUGUAGACUUUAUUUGCGAAUUCAAUACUGGGCGCUGUUUGUUUGGAUGUAUAACAGGAUAACAGGGCCAAUUACACGUUUUCAACGGAAGAAAAUAUUACGAAGAAGAAUAAAUCAAAGGUCGGAGCAGCUGUUGUUUGGUUGAUUGCUGCGGUCCUGGUUGCUGUCGCAGUUCUUUCCGUUAUACAUCGAGAGGAUAGUGUAUGUGUGUACGCUUUUUUGUCCCAGUACCCGAAUAGAAAAACCAGAUGGAACUUGUGGACCUCCCUUUCUUGAUCUUAUAGUUUCAAAAUUCAAGAUUCACCUUCACUUUAUGCUGACUCCUAAUAUACAUGAACAUAUUCUUAGAUGUGGUCAGAAAACUUGACGGCAGUGGGAAGCAGUUCCCAGUAAACUUCAAUUCGCCAUGGGCAGAGAACUGGACAGUUAUUCUAGGAUUAUUUUACUACGGUACAAACGGAAAAGUGACAAUUUCAUGUAUAUUUUGCUAACAGAAAACAACCGGAAGUCUUAUGCUGAAGUUGUGUCCGAUACUGAACGUUUAUUGAACAUACAGUGGCGUAUUCGUGUUGAUAACAAGACCUUUGUCGUAACACAAAUGUUCAGCAGAUUUUUCGAUUUCAUUCCAAAAACACAGUCAUCUAAUGCUGGAUCUUCCGAUGUUAUCCCAGUUGAUAUUACAUCUGUAACACCUCAUAAGAGUGCUAUUUUAAGUCAGAAUUUAGAGGAAAUUAAGGCUUUGGUGACAUUAGUGUUCUUUUUACUUCGUGCUAUCAAAAUUUGCGUUUUGUGAACAAAUCGAGUUACUAUCUGAUGAACUCUACGUAUUAAGAAACAGUUAUAUACUGUGUGUUAAUACUUCUGGGCGGAUUUUCUUCUCAAAUGAAUUCAACACAUUCGUUGAUCCAAACACAAACGAGACUGUUUAUAGAAUAUGUCUUGACAAGCCGAUGAUUUCUGGCUCGACGAAAAGUGUAUAUACCGAUUGCAGCCUAUUGAUUCUCUUGUAUCUAUCAUUUUUCAUCAGUGUUUGGAGCUUCCAUCCCUGCUCAAUGAUUCUGUUGAAAAAGUGUUUCUCGGUAGUUUUUAACUAUUGUUCAUUUGAAAGGACUCACAU